GGGAAGGCCUCUGGCCUGGUCCCCCAGAAGUGGCUCUAGCACCUGGUGACCUUUGUUACCUGUCGCACUCAAUGAGACGGAGGCACCAGGUGACAGACAGGGAGAGGCUGAGAAUGAGAAAGCGGGCCCCACACCAGCCCCAGCCCACAGGGUAGCAGGUAUGGAGAUCAAGGCAGAGGAAAGGGGCCUUUCCUAGGGUCACCCUGCUCACAGCUGGCUGCCUUGAGAUCACACCUGCCUCCAACAUUGGCAUCCCCUUGACCACCUUGGGCUGCGCCGUUGUCUACUUCCCAGUGGCCAGUGCAACUUUCACAGCCACAGGAACAGAACCAGACCGCUGGCAUACAGACUCGUCCUCACUUUAUGGGAAACCUGAAGUCUGGAGAAGACAAGCAAGCCCCAGGGCACAGCAGUGAGAGCCUAUGAAGGAAUGGGGGGCCGUGGCAGCGUUUGCAUUCUUUAUGUUUUCCCCGCCCUCUGGGAAGUAGUCUGGGCUCCUGAAACCACCUUUUGUAAGUUUCCCAUGAAGCUUUCUUUGGGGAAAAUCUUGAUUUUUGUAAAAAGGAAACUAAUAUAUGUCAUGCACCUGUCGAGUGCCAGGCACUACACCAUUUAUUCUCACAAGUCUGAGUAUUACUACAGAGUAUGACUCCUGGAAUUAUCUGGAAGCCCUGCCCAUACACAUUCAGCUCAACUUCUGCACACCAAGCCUGCUUAACAUGAUGUGGCCACGUGGCUUUCUUUUUUUUCUUUUUUUUCCUGGUCAUUGGAGUACACUUGGCCCAAGUGCAGGGCAAGACACGGGGUCAAAGAGUUAAUGCCCCUGGGAGAAGCCCUCAGACAGUAAAGGUGCUGUGGAUAAACAGCCCAGCCUCCUAGCCACUUGGUUGGGACAGUCUCCAGUCAUGUUCCAUUCACACUCACCCAGGGUUCCCCAGUGGGACUGAGCUCUCAUCAACCGUAAUGGUAUCUGGCUUGACAAUAUUUCCAUCCCCUCCCUGUCUCAGAUCUCCUCCCAAAUAAACUACCAGCACUCAAA